AUGGGGAUGGCUCAGUGGUAGAGUGCUUGCCUUGCAUGCAUGAGGCUCUGGGUUCGAUUCCCCAUCACCACA
rfam:Dipodomys ordii contig_22560, whole genome shotgun sequence.